GAAACUCUGGAUUAUGGCAAUAUUUUCAGGACUCAUUUAUGACAGAAAUGCCAGAUUUCACUAGACUGACAUCUGAUAUCCUCAGACAUGCAGCAUGCAGGUGACUUAUCCUAUCAGUAGACCAGCGGGAGUUCACCUCGAAAAGCAACCUUUUGAUAAGGCUCAAAUGUCUGCUGUGAAAGAUGUGAAAAAGGAUGAGAUCCUGGACGUUCAAGCUGAGCCUACAAAAUCUGAUGUGUAUACAGAAACUGAACCAAGUAUUACAGAUAUUUCUUAAAACAUUUGUUGAGAACAUGUACCACUUAAGGGAAUGGAACAGCGGAUCAUGUCCACCCGACAUCGCUAAAUGCUGACAGCAUACGCUGUUGGCAUUUAAAAUUGCACAAGCAUUUCUAGUGAAAUGCUUGUGCAAUGCCACCCCCUGCACAUUCACGGCCAAUCGUCCGCAAGCAGGGGGUGUCAAUCAUCCAGAUCGUAUCUGAUCGGGUUGAUUGUUGUCCGCCACCUCAGAGGUGCCGGACGAGUUAAGGAGCAGCGGUCUUAUGACUUAUGACUUAUUGCAGCAUGUUAAAUCGGCCUCAAUGUGUGCAUAAUAAUUUCCAAAGAUUCUUUAAAACUCAUUCUAGGAAAUUCAGUUACUUCAACAUGUAUUAGAUACUGAGCAAUACUCCAGAGCACUGAUUAAAAAAGGACAUUUAUGAUCGACUUGCAGAUUUCUUCCUUUUAGAAAAUGUAAAUCAUUGCGUGUUUAUGUAGAAUUAUGAUGGGUUUUUUAUAUCAUUUUUUUUGGCAUAUUUCAAGCACUUUAGUAAAAAAAUGGAAUCCUG